UUACCAUGCAGUCGAGCGGUAAGGCCCUUCGGGGUACACGAGCGGCGAACGGGUGAGUAACACGUGGGUGAUCUGCCCUGCACUUCGGGAUAAGCCUGGGAAACUGGGUCUAAUACCGGAUACGACCUCGGGCUGCAUGGCCUGGGGUGGAAAGGUUUACUGGUGCAGGAUGGGCCCGCGGCCUAUCAGCUUGUUGGUGGGGUAAUGGCCUACCAAGGCGACGACGGGUAGCCGACCUGAGAGGGUGACCGGCCACACUGGGACUGAGACACGGCCCAGACUCCUACGGGAGGCAGCAGUGGGGAAUAUUGCACAAUGGGCGAAAGCCUGAUGCAGCGACGCCGCGUGAGGGAUGACGGCCUUCGGGUUGUAAACCUCUUUCAGCAGGGACGAAGCGCAAGUGACGGUACCUGCAGAAGAAGCACCGGCCAACUACGUGCCAGCAGCCGCGGUAAUACGUAGGGUGCGAGCGUUGUCCGGAAUUACUGGGCGUAAAGAGUUCGUAGGCGGUUUGUCGCGUCGUCUGUGAAAACCCACCGCUCAACGGUGGGCCUGCAGGCGAUACGGGCAGACUUGAGUACUGCAGGGGAGACUGGAAUUCCUGGUGUAGCGGUGAAAUGCGCAGAUAUCAGGAGGAACACCGGUGGCGAAGGCGGGUCUCUGGGCAGUAACUGACGCUGAGGAACGAAAGCGUGGGUAGCAAACAGGAUUAGAUACCCUGGUAGUCCACGCCGUAAACGGUGGGCGCUAGGUGUGGGUUCCUUCCACGGGAUCUGUGCCGUAGCUAACGCAUUAAGCGCCCCGCCUGGGGAGUACGGCCGCAAGGCUAAAACUCAAAGAAAUUG
rnacentral:rRNA from 2 species